AUGGGCCACGUUCGUACCAAAACCAUGAAGAAGGCAGCUGGGUCAUCGUUGAGAAAUACUAGACGCCUCUGGGAAAUGACUUCCACACGAACAAUCGCACAUGUCAGGAGAUCGCCCUUAUUCCCAGCAAGAAGACAGAAACAAGAUAGGAGGCUACAUCACGUAUUUGAUGAAGUGGAUUCAGAGAGGCCCGGUGAGAGGUCUCUCCAUCAAGCUGCAGGAGGAGGAGAGAGAAAGGAGAGAUAACCAUGUCCCAGAGGUCUCAGCCCUCAAUCUGGAGAUCAUUGAAGUAGAUCCUGACGCUAAGGAAAUGCUGAAACUUUUGGACUUUGGCAGUCUGUCCAACCUGCAGGUCACUCAGCCUACAGUUGGGAUGAAUUUCAAAACACCACGUAGAGCCAUUUGAAUCUUUCUGCUAUGCUGUAAUAUUUUAAUAAACCUGGGACAACAACAAAAA